rnacentral:rRNA from 1 species
GAAACGGCGGCUAAUACCGCAUACGCCUUACGAGGGAAAGAUUUAUCGCCCUGGGAGGGGCCCGCGUUGGAUUAGCUUGUUGGUGGGGUAAAAGCCUACCAAGGCGACGAUCUAUAGCUGGUCUGAGAGGAUGAUCAGCCACACUGGGACUGAGACACGGCCCAGACUCCUACGGGAGGCAGCAGUGGGGAAUAUUGGACAAUGGGGGCAACCCUGAUCCAGCCAUGCCGCGUGCGUGAAGAAGGCCUUAGGGUUGUAAAGCGCUUUCACCGGUGACGAUGAUGACGGUAGCCGGAGAAGAAGCCCCGGCUAACUCCGUGCCAGCAGCCGCGGUAAUACGGAGGGGGCAAGCGUUGUUCGGAAUUACUGGGCGUAAAGGGCGCGUAGGCGGAAGAUCAAGUCAGGGGUGAAAGGCCUGGGCUCAACCCGGGAACUGCCUUUGAAACUGGUUUUCUAGAGUACGGGAGAGGAUGGCGGAAUUCCCAGUGUAGAGGUGAAAUUCGUAGAUAUUGGGGAAGAACACCGGUGGCGAA